CCUACGGGUGGCAGCAGUGGGGACUAUUGGGCAAUGGACGCAAGUCUGACCCAGCAACGCCGCGUGAAGGCAGAAGGCUUUCGGGUUGUAAACUUCUUUUAAGGGGGAAGAGCAGAAGACGGUACCCCUUGAAUAAGCCACGGCUAACUACGUGCCAGCAGCCGCGGUAAUACGUAGGUGGCAAGGGUUGUCCGGAUUUACUGGGUGUAAAGGGCGUGCAGCCGGAGAGACAAGUCAGAUGUGAAAUCCACGGGCUCAACCCGUGAACUGCAUUUGAAACUGUUUCCCUUGAGUGUCGGAGAGGUAAUCGGAAUGCCUGGUGUAGCGGUGAAAUGCGUAGAUAUAAGGAAGAACACCAGUGGCGAAGGCAGCUUACCAAGCUACUUCUGACGUUGAGGCACGAAAGCGUGGGGAGCAAACAGGAUUAGAUACCCUUGUAGUC
rnacentral:rRNA from 1 species